ACAGAGGUGGCAAGCGUUGUUCGGAAUUACUGGGCGUAAAGGGCGCGUAGGCGGUCUUGUAAGUCCUGUGUGAAAUCCCUCGGCUUAACUGAGGAACUGCACGGGAUACUGCGAGACUUGAGAUCGGGAGAGGGAAGCGGAAUUCCGGGUGUAGCGGUGAAAUGCGUAGAUAUCCGGAGGAACACCGGUGGCGAAGGCGGCUUCCUGGACCGACACUGACGCUGAGGCGCGAAAGCUAGGGGAGCAAACGGGAUUAGAUACCCCGGUAGUCCUAGCUGUAAACGAUGAGUGCUGGGUGUAGGGGGUAUUAACCCUCCUGUGCCGAAGCUAACGCAUUAAGCACUCCGCCUGGGGAGUACGGUCGCAAGGCUG
rnacentral:rRNA from 1 species